rnacentral:rRNA from 1 species
UGUUUGAUGUUCUAACGUGGACCCGUGAUCCGGGUUGCGGACAGUGUCUGGUGGGUAGUUUGACUGGGGCGGUCUCCUCCUAAAGAGUAACGGAGGAGCACGAAGGUUGGCUAAUCCUGGUCGGACAUCAGGAGGUUAGUGCAAUGGCAUAAGCCAGCUUGACUGCGAGCGUGACGGCGCGAGCAGGUGCGAAAGCAGGUCAUAGUGAUCCGGUGGUUCUGAAUGGAAGGGCCAUCGCUCAACGGAUAAAAGGUACUCCGGGGAUAACAGGCUGAUACCGCCCAAGAGUUCAUAUCGACGGCGGUGUUUGGCACCUCGAUGUCGGCUCAUCACAUCCUGGGGCUGAAGUAGGUCCCAAGGGUAUGGCUGUUCGCCAUUUAAAGUGGUACGCGAGCUGGGUUUAGAACGUCGUGAGACAGUUCGGUCCCUAUCUGCCGUGGGCGCUGGAGAACUGAGGGGGGCUGCUCCUAGUACGA